AGUACAAAUGAACAAUCCUGUUACAACUGGUGGCCCCCAAUAGGCCAUCCAAGUUACAACUUGCAUAUUCAGGAAUGUUCUUUCUUUGGUCCAGUAUAAACAAUAUGUAUUGAGCAAUUUACUAAAAAAUAAUAUCACAAAACACCGUACGGACAUGAUAAACAGGGUAAACUAAACAAAGAAGAAAACAUAUAACCUCUCGAAAAAGAGCUCUCUCACUGUACAAUGGAAAAGAACCACACCUGAAAUAUUAAAACAUAAACUGCCUGUCAC
rnacentral:lncRNA from 1 species